UCUAUGGCCACACCAUUUAAGGUAUCCUAAACCCAUUCGCAAUUUAACAUCUUCAGUAUAUGGCUUCAUGUUAAAAAAGUUUGGUGUGAACUACUUGUGUCUUCUUGGAGGAGAAUGAAUUCAUUUACAGGCUGAGUUUAUCAUAAAUCCACAAUAACAUUUCUGAGUUCUGUAUUAAUCUGUGUUGUUGUUUGUUUAUUUUUAUUUUUUUAUUUUUCAUAGGAAGAUAACUGACCCUUUACUCUCCUUUUUAAUAAAUGAGCUAUUUAUAGCUGUAUUUAUAAACUGCCUACUACUGACUAUUAAUAUUGGGACAAGGCUUUAUGAAGCAUGAACUGACUAUUUACUAAUGAGUGCAGUUAUUAUAAAGUGUUAUCAAUGUAUUUGCUAAUGUUAACAAAUUAGACAUUAUUUUACAGUGUUAUCAAAUCCCUUAAAUGAUUUGUAAGUGUUUUGUAAUGAUUUUAUUGACCUACAAGCAUUUGUGAAAGUUCUGCUUGCAUUAGAGCUUAGUCUUGAUCUGUGAGCUGAACAGAUUUACUGUUACAUCCAUGAGAUUAUGUAAAUUCAAAUAAAUAUCAUGUCACAGGAUGUCAGAGGUCAGUAUCAAAUUAGUUUGAAAUUAUUAUUUGCAGCACAAAUAAGGUUUUUUAGGAUUUUUAAAAAUCCCUAAAACUGUCAGAAAAGGAUAAG